UGCCACUGGAAGAUUUGGCUCUCCAUGU
rnacentral:piRNA from 2 species